CAUCCUCCAAGGCUAAAUACUCCUGACUGACCGAUAGUGAACCAGUACCGUGAGGGAAAGGCGAAAAGAACCCCGGCGAGGGGAGUGAAAAAGAACCUGAAACCGUGUACGUACAAGCAGUGGGAGCACAGGUUUACCUGUGUGACUGCGUACCUUUUGUAUAAUGGGUCAGCGACUUAUAUUCUGUAGCAAGGUUAACCGAAUAGGGGAGCCGUAGGGAAACCGAGUCUUAACCGGGCGUUAAGUUGCAGGGUAUAGACCCGAAACCCGGUGAUCUAGCCAUGGGCAGGUUGAAGGUUGGGUAACACUAACUGGAGGACCGAACCGACUAAUGUUGAAAAAUUAGCGGAUGACCUGUGGCUGGGGGUGAAAGGCCAAUCAAACCGGGAGAUAGCUGGUUCUCCCCGAAAGCUAUUUAGGUAGCGCCUCGUGAA
rnacentral:rRNA from 1 species